AACGAACGCUGGCGGCAGGCUUAACACAUGCAAGUCGAGCGCCCCGCAAGGGGAGCGGCAGACGGGUGAGUAACGCGUGGGAAUCUACCCAUCUCUACGGAAUAACGCAUGGAAACGUGUGCUAAUACCGUAUACGUCCUUCGGGAGAAAGAUUUAUCGGAGAUGGAUGAGCCCGCGUUGGAUUAGCUAGUUGGUGGGGUAAAGGCCUACCAAGGCGACGAUCCAUAGCUGGUCUGAGAGGAUGAUCAGCCACACUGGGGCUGAGACACGGCCCAGACUCCUGCGGGAGGCAGCAGUGGGGAAUAUUGGACAAUGGGCGCAAGCCUGAUCCAGCCAUGCCGCGUGAGUGAUGAAGGCCCUAGGGUUGUAAAGCUCUUUCACCGGUGAAGAUAAUGACGGUAACCGGAGAAGAAGCCCCGGCUAACUUCGUGCCAGCCGCCGCGGUAAGAC
rnacentral:rRNA from 1 species